UAGGAAAAUAAUCACCGUAGACAGCGGGUGCGUAAAGCUUAAUUUCCCGCCGAGGUACGAUAUAUAGAAAGAUCGGCCCCGUCUGUUUACGACGGGGUUUACUAUAU
rnacentral:sRNA from 1 species